GGGGGUGCAAUGGUUUCGACGGGGAUUUUGAAGACAGAGAUAGCCAUUCGCAGACGGCAACUGCGUCAUUAAGCCGAACUUUUUAAAAAUAAACGAUAAUACAGAAUUAUCUUACGCAGCCUAAUUUAGGCAGCCAUCAGCUUUCGGUCACUCGCUGCUGAAAUAACUGGUGUCGACUUUGCGAGGCACUUUCUUAUCAAAGCUUUGCGAUAAGAAAAGAUUUAUGAAGCUAUCCGUUAUUUUAGCUUGUCAUUUGGCGACUGUAAUGGAGAAUUUUAAAUAAAUGACUGUGAUGGGAGAAGUCUUUGUUGACGGGUUUUCGGACAGGAGUUCGAUUCUCCUCACCUCCAU
rnacentral:tmRNA from 2 species